rnacentral:lncRNA from 1 species
CCAGGCUGGUCUCGAACUCCUGUCCUCAGGUGAUCCUCCCAUCUUGGCCUCCCAAAGUGUUGGGAUUACAGGCGUGAGCCACCGUGCCUGGCCCUAUUCUCCUUUCACAACCCUAUGAAACAGGGGUCCCCAAACCCCAGGCCAUGGACUGAUACCAGUUUACGGCCUUUAGGAACUGGACCACACAUCAAGAGGUGAGUGGGGGGCGAGUAAGCAGAGCUUCAUCUGUAUUUACAGCCGAUCCGCAUCGCUUGCAUUACUGCCUGAGCUCGCCUUCUGUCGGAUCAGCAGCAGCAUUAGAUUCUCAUAGGAGAAUCCUAUCGUGAACCCUAUUGUGAACGGUGCAUGUGAGGGAUCUAGGUUCCAUACUCUUUAUGAGAAUCUAAUGCCUGAUGAUCUGUCACUGUCUCCCAUCACCCCCAAAUGGGACCGUCUAGUUGCAGGAAAACAAGCUCAGGGCUCCCACUGAUUCUACAUGAUGG